GGCAGAGAUAGUUGCUCUUUCCUUCCUUUUUUGGUGAAAACAGUGUCAGCGUGUGACAUGCCCGAUAUGUCCCUGCCACUGGCCGGUCGAAACUUAUUACUGCCCGGCCCGCUGCUUUGCCUGUUCUCUCUCCCUUCCAUUUGCUUCUUCUUCAGUUCUUGUGGAGUUUCUCCUCUCCUGCCUGCCCUACGGCCUCUGCAAGCAAGACGCGCAUGCAGAGGUUCACGGCGCGCGUCGUAGGCCCUAUGCAUGGGUCAAUGCGCGUGCUCGAGCUCCAGUUCUUUGCUGCUUUCUUUCAUGUUGCUGCUCAUCUCAUUUCCUUGCUGGUUUCAUGGUAUGGUAUGGUAUGGUAUGGCAUGCACGAGCACGACAGGAGUGGAGUGGGGGUUUAGUUUCCAUCACAGCGGCCUGAGACGAGGGGUUUCGUCCACACAACUCAACCUUUUCUUUUCGCGCACAUCGAUGCGAUGCUGGAUUUGUUAUACAACACAGAUUAUACUAUGUUUGUGAUGUUUCCGUGCAAGGCGGGAUCGGAUCGACCGGCCAAUCGAUCUACAUGAUCGGUGGUGAGGUCGUCGUCGGGCGCACGGAUGGGUGUGCCGCCAUUGCCGGGGCCGGAAGUCACCGGCACUGGCUAGCCGGAGGCCGCAUUGGCGGCUGGCCGUUCAUCUGCAUGUCAGGUAACUGACAGGAUCUAUUCCGAUGUCCCCAUUGUCUGUCAUUUCGGGCAGCCUGCAAAACGAACCGGCUUACUAAUGCUAUGGAAUAACCUGAUUCUAGUAUAGCCAGAAGAUAUGUAGGCAUCUGCUAUUUUGACAUCACAGGAAUGCUCAUAACUGAUUUAGGCCUA